GGCCGGGUCCGGCAAUGCCGGUCACCGCUAACCCCGCCAGGACCGGAAGGUAGCAACGGUAUGCGGAAGGAACGGCAGUUGUCGGGUCACCUGGCUGGA
rnacentral:SRP_RNA from 1 species